rnacentral:rRNA from 1 species
UACGUAGGUGGCGAGCGUUGUCCGGAUUUACUGGGCGUAAAGGGAGCGUAGGCGGACUUUUAAGUGAGAUGUGAAAUACCCGGGCUUAACUUGGGUGCUGCAUUUCAAACUGGAAGUCUAGAGUGCAGGAGAGGAGAAUGGAAUUCCUAGUGUAGCGGUGAAAUGCGUAGAGAUUGGGAGGAACACCAGUGGCGAAGGCGACUUACUGGACUGUAACUGACGCUGAGGCGCGAAAGUGUGGGGAGCAAACAGGAUUAGAUACCCGCGUAGUCCCU